UGCGUGACCAACCUGCCCCAUGCUCCAGAAUAGCUCUUGGAAACGGGUGGUAAUGCUGGAUGCUCCAACUUGACGCAUGUCUUGUUGGAAAGUGUUUAGUGGCAUGGGAUGGGGUCGCGUCCUAUCAGCUUGUAGGCGGGGUAAUGGCCCACCUAGGCUUCGACGGGUAGCCGGCCUGAGAGGGCGGACGGCCACAUUGGGACUGAGAUACGGCCCAGACUCCUACGGGAGGCAGCAGAC
rnacentral:rRNA from 1 species